GGCAAUGAGGACCCCUCCCCCUCUUCCAAGAAUGCUAGUCUGAGAAGAGCGAUCCGUUCUAUAAAUUUGGAAAUUUGCAGCAAACUCGGCGCUUUUGAUGCCAGCAUGCAACCAGGUUUCAGAAAAAACAAUCACAUCGUACUCACAUUCAGCCAGGGCGACGAACAAGUCUCUAGUUUUUGUGCGCAAGCCUCGAACAUUUUGAUAAUAAAUCGUCAAUUCUUGCUUGCGAUUUGUGCUCACGGACGAUUUGCGCUGCUUACUAGGGAGCGUCGAGAGAGCGACGUCGGUUUGGGACGAUAAGCAAACAAUAUCGGAAUGUUUUGCUUCACUCGCGUCGAUGUUGAUAAGAGCGUCGUCGAGGGCCGACGUCCUAUUUACAAGUUGUGUUCUGGAUAAGUUCGGUGCGAAGGAUUGUGCAAAUCCGGAUUGCUCCACAGGAAAAGGGAGAUAUGACGAUACCAGCUGGCCAAAAACCUUUUGCGGUAAGUGCAGAUGAGAAGUUUUUAUGUAUGGAAAUUUUGAACGAGAUGAAACUUGUUCUUUUCCCCAACUUUGUCAUCGUGCUGCAGGUUACGGCGGACUCGGGAAUAUUUUUGGAAACGAUGAACUUGACCACGUCGUUGCAUGAUGUAGUCGGUGUAAAGUUUCGAGCACAAAAUGUUGCCAGGAUGAAAAGGGCACUGACGAUGGGUAACUCGGUGGAAAGAACUGAGUCGGAGGCUGCAUAAACCAACCAUUUGGCGAGAAACUGGUCGGUGGAACGCUGUAUGGUGGCCACAUCGGCGGAUAGUAAAUGGCGCGUGAUUUUGAGCAGCAUCAAGUUGAUUGGAAGGAGCAUCUCUAGUCAGAUCGACAAAGUUAGCCGAAACAGGAGCAAUUAUUACAUGGUUCUGUUGCGGGUCAGGCUCGCGGAAUUAGGCUUCUCGGGCAGAGGCAGUGUACUUGAAGCAGGCCUGAACGAAGAAGAAGCGGCGGCAGUGCGCUUAUUCUGCGAGACGUUCACUGAGUUGGCUUUACGUUUGCGAGAGGUAGGACAACCUUCAUCAUCUAGAUUGAUUAUUGAU